UUAUUACAUGAAGAUUAAUAUUAUUAGUCAUUUAAAAGCAAUAAAAAGGUUCAAAGGGUUACAUAUAAAUAAAUGAAUCCAAAAUAGCCAUUUACAAGGGGUUACAUAAAAAAGCCCAAGUUAUAUUGUAAUACCCAACAUCCCACAUCUGAUGUGAAUGUGAUUGUUAAGACCUAUAUAACAAUCCAAGCCUACUACUACUACUAGCAACUUGAGCUUAAGCUUUUGAGGGUCAUGUGGUUUAGGCCCAAAGAGUUGCUGGACCGGUGGUUGGACUUGAGUCGUUACAAAUGGUAUCAAAGCCUGCUCCAGUCCGAUGUGAGCUUUCACAUUGCUCUGGUGAGAUCUUGGUCCUAUGGAUGUGAUAUGUGGCCUUGAUGAGGACAUCAAGGAUUUGAGUGGGUGAGAUUGUAAUACCUAAUAUCUCACAUCUGAUGUGAAUGUGAUUGUUAAGACCUAUAUAACAAUCCAAACUCACUACCACUAGCAACUUGAGCUUAAGCUUUUGAGGGUCACGUGGUUUAGACCCAAAGAGUUGCUGAACCAGUGGUUGGACUUGGGUUGUUACAAACAUUCUUCACCCUGAAUGUCAAUCGAAACCUCGCAAGGCUCUCGUUUCAGCUUUCGCACUUCUCCGAUGAGCAAUAGUUAUCAAAUAUCGUAAUUCGAAGGAUUACGAGUCAUUUCCAAAUCAGAACAUAACAUAUUGUUUUCUGGCUCACAGAGGCAUUUUCGUCAAUUUUCGUUGAAAAUCUCAAAACUUGCUAAAAAUGUAGUAAGUAAGCAAAAAAUAUAUAUUUAGUGAUUUAAAAACAAAUUAAGUAUCUAAAACUUUCAUUUGAAGUGAAAAUUUGACCAUUUGAAUAUAAUAAAAAUUUCAAUAAAAUAAACUAUUUUCUUGUAGAAUAAUUUUUUUCUAAAGCUAUUAAUAAAUAAUUCUUAUAGCGUAAAAGUUAAUUAUAUUCAUAUAUACUAUAAAGCAAAUAACCAAAGCAUAAAAUUACUUUUACAGUGACACGUGGGCCCACAUCUAACCAAAAUGCAUCGGAAGCUGAAAACCUACAGCUUUUGCCGAUUCAAGUCCAAAUGAAGGUCCUUGUCAAAGUCAGCUAACUAUAGAAUUCUCCGAGCCUGAAAUGUGAGGAAAUGAGGGUGGUGAGAUUAUAAAAUCUCAGUGAGUAAACAGACACCAUCUAAAUUAUCUAAAAACGAGUAAAUGGAGACGAAUUAAAAUAAGUCAUCAUAUUGUAAUUUCAUUACCUUUCAACUCAUUUCAACCAAAUAAACAACUAGGCUUAUGAUUUCUCGAAAAGCUUGGCUCGUGCAAAAAAAAAUUAUUCUCAUACUCAGUUAUUAGGGAUACCUUGAUCGAGGGUUAUCCCAACCGAGUCCGUCAGGGCUGUUAAAUGUCUUUACAUCUGAAAUUUUAGCCAUGUCUUGGCGUUGGCUGAGUCUCACUCUCACGCGGUGGUCCAUGUGAAGUGCACUCAAAUCUUUAUCUCAGGAGAUACUUCAUCCAACAUCUCCCCCCGGAGGUAAAUAUAUAAUAGGGUUAUCGUGCCUCUCUCAUAAGCAGUCCACGGAAACCCCCACCACUGUAGUGACUAUGGAUUAUUUUAUCUACCACCUGAUUUAUAAAAUCUUUUUUUGCAUGACAUAGCAAUUUAUCGCAUCUUAGCCUCUCAAGGCUGAAUACAUAGUACAAAUAAUUCUAACACCAAAAUCAAUUUAGCCAUUCAUGCUCAUUUAUUGUCAUAAGCCGUUCAAUUUAAAACCAUAAAUUUAUAAUACAAGCAGGUAGUCUCCAAUUACUCUAUUUUCAAAAUCAGUAUUCAAUUUUUCAGAAAAUUUAUAAAAUCACAAUUUCUCCUAAAACAUAGCAAUUUACCAUUUUAACCCAUUUUCUAUAAAAUUACACAAUUGUAUAAAACAACUCUGGAUAAUUAAGAUGAUAAUAAGUUUACUCACAGUUCUAGGAGUCGAUGUACUCCUAAUCUCAGUCUCCAAGCACAAUCUUUGUACUUUUACUAGUGUAAUUUACUCACCACCUAUCCACAGUGUACAAUACAUAAUUCACCACAUUAAUUCUUGACCAUUAUAAAAUCAAUUCAGGCUCGGUGUAUAUGCAUGAUAUGUUAUGCAACUUAUUCGAUUACCGCCUAAAUGCAAUGCUAGCCUAAUUCGGCCUAUUACCCGAAUAAAUGACAAUUAUAUCCGAUUUGACUACAAAUUGCUCCAUUUCAUUUCUAAUAUUUCAAUUCACUAAAUACAAUUCCAAUAAUCUAAAAUUCAGCCUAACAACCCUCACAAUUCUUUUUGAAAAUUUCUGCCAUUGUGGUGCACUAUCACUAAAAAUUUUUUCAUUCCAUUUUCUCACCAUAAAUCAUCAUUUCAUCAAUUUUUCAACCAAUUCACUUGAUCACAAAAUCAAUUCAUUACUUCUACACUUCACAUAGGGUUCGACCAUUGAAGGUUCAUGGAAAAAAUGGAUUCUUUUCUUGUUAUUUUGUUUCUAAACAUGCUUAACUAGCUAAAAAUACUAACAUAAUUUAGAAUCAAAUCAAUCUAACAUCAUUCUCUCUCCAUACCCAUUCCAACCAACCAUGAAUUCAUCAUAAAAAUAUGUAAUUUAAUCAUGAAAAAUGAGGGAAAAUGCAUGGGUAAGGUAAAUUACUAGCAAAAUCAAAGAAAUUUUACCUUUACUUGAUCAAAUUCUUGAAUUUCAACACUUUCUCUUUGAUUUUUCCCACUUAGGGUUUGUUCUUCCUUGGUUUCUCUUCUCUUCUGGUUUGGCUGACCACUAUGGGAG
rnacentral:lncRNA from 1 species